rnacentral:rRNA from 1 species
CCUACGGGAGGCAGCAGUGAGGAAUAUUGGUCAAUGGGCGCGAGCCUGAACCAGCCAAGUAGCGUGAAGGAUGACUGCCCUACGGGUUGUAAACUUCUUUUAUAAAGGAAUAAAGUGAGGCACGUGUGCCUUUUUGUAUAUACUUUAUGAAUAAGGAUCGGCUAACUCCGUGCCAGCAGCCGCGGUAAUACGGAGGAUCCGAGCGUUAUCCGGAUUUAUUGGGUUUAAAGGGAGCGUAGAUGGGGUGUUAAGUCAGUUGUGAAAGUUUGGGGCUCAACCGGAAAAGUGCAAUUGAUACUGGCAGCCUUGAGUGCAGUUGAGGUAGGCGGAAUUCGUGGUGUAGCGGUGAAAUGCUUAGAUAUCACGAAGAACUCCGAUUGCGAAGGCAGCCUACUAGACUGCAACUGACAUUGAUGCUCGAAAGUGUGGGUAUCAAACAGGAUUAGAUACCCCGGUAGUC